rnacentral:rRNA from 1 species
UGUUCGUUAUUUAGGGCGCAUGGUGGAUGCCUUGGCAUGCUGAGCCGAUGAAGGACGUGAAAGGCUGCGUUAAGCCUCGGGGAGUUGUCAAUUGAGCGUUGAUCCGAGGAUGUCCGAAUGGGGAAACCUGGCACCUGUUAUGGGGUGUUACCCUUCAGUGAAUUCAUAGCUGUUGUGGGGGUUACGCGGGGAAGUGAAACAUCUCAGUACCCGUAGGAGAAGAAAAUAAUAAUGAUUCUGCUAGUAGUGGCGAACGAACGUGGAUGAGGCUAAACCGUGUGCAUGUGAUACCUGGUAGGGGUUGUGUGUGCGGUGUUGUGGGCCCUGAUGAGGAUGGCUACUGACGUCCUGCCCGCGCAUUGUUGUUAGGUGAAGUGGUGUGGAAACGCCUGCCGUAGAAGGUGAUAGUCCUGUAGCUGAAGAUGAUGGUGUGUGGGUUGUUGGGUUGCCCGAGUAGCAGCGGGCUCGUGGAAUCUGCUGUGAAUCUGCCGGGACCACCCGGUAAGCCUAAAUACUCAGUGUGACCGAUAGUGGAUAGUACCGUGAGGGAAUGGUGAAAAGUACCCCGGGAGGGGAGUGAAAUAGUUCCUGAAACCAUGU